rnacentral:rRNA from 1 species
AUACGGAGGGUGCAAGCGUUGUCCGGAUUUAUUGGGUUUAAAGGGUGUGUAGGCGGUGUAUUAAGUCAGUGGUGAAAGCCUGCGGCUCAACCGUAGAACUGCCAUUGAUACUGACACACUUGAGUAUGGACGAGGUAGGCGGAAUUUAUGGUGUAGCGGUGAAAUGCAUAGAUACCAUAAAGAACACCGAUAGCGAAGGCAGCUUACUAGGCCAUAACUGACGCUGAGGCACGAAAGUGUGGGGAGCGAACAGGAUUAGAAACCCCGGUAGUCC